UUAAACAUUUGCUCUGUCAACUAACAGCUGCGAAGACAAAUGAAUCCAGAUGCACAAAAUAAAGUAGACAACUUCACGAUUAUCUUUUAAUUUUUCAGCAAAGUUUGCAUCAUUUCCUCUUUUCUUUGAUGAAGCUUUGUUCUCAUCACUGUAGGCGCUCGACCCAAUGCCGCACAGGGAGCGAAUGGGUAUAGUGUCGAUUGUUAUGUGAACAGAUCGAUACCACAGGCCGCUAAUGCAACAAGGUUUUAAAAAUUAUUUUCCAUAGCAAAGAUUGAUGAAAUUGAUCAUACUCGUUUGUUUGUACAUGGGCAUUAAUAGUGUUAAAUUCCUCUGUGAUUUUCUGUUAACUCAAUAGGGGUCCAUUAAAUACUUAUUGUCUUGCGCCAUUGUUAUUGGACACAGUCGUUCUUGGUGGACUCACGUGACACGUAGUUUUGUUUGUUUCGUUUCGUCAUCUACUUACUUACAUCCAAUAAGUAUUGUCUGGCAGUCACAAGGUCACAGAACUUGACCUACGACCCCUGGUUGUUGAUGUCAGGUUGAGAGUCUUCAUUAAAUUGUGUUGUAAACAUGUCAAUCGCUGGCAGACGACAUCCGUGUAUCAGACAGCUAAGUCGGGCAACAUCUGUAGCAACCAAUAUAUAUUGUUUAAUUCAUCAUGUUGAACUUUAUCUCAAAGAAUCAAUAAAUUAUUUGCUCUGCU
rnacentral:sRNA from 1 species